GCGGCAGGAAGAUCCACGCGGCCACCGCAAUGGUCCGUCGCGCCUCGUGGCGAGUGUUAAACUCACUGGGCAUCAACGGGGAUUCAACGAACGUACCCUUUGAAAUUUCGACGAAGCGGAUUGCGAGUCAUCAUCGAGAGGAUGACACCGGGCAAGCUGUCAUUACUUAGGUAUCAAAAUCCUCGUCAUUCUCGUGCCACUCACUGUGUACAAGUAUCAUUAUUAUGCAUUCGAGACCAAAACGAUGACGGGCAUCGCGGCGCCGUCAUCCAAAUCGCUGGAAUCGACAUUGACAAUCGGCAGCAGAAUGCCCAGAGCUACGUUGAACGAUACGGUCUCGAAAAACAUCACCUUGGUCCUCGAAAAUCUACUAAUGAAUUACGAAAACAGUCAGCUGCCCACGCACGGUAAAGGCGUACCCACGGUGGUCAAAACUAAUAUUUUAAUUAAAAGUAUGGGUCCAGUGUCUGAGCUCGAUAUGGAUUACUCAAUGGACUGUUAUUUCCGGCAGUCGUGGCGCGACUCGCGUCUAAGCUUCCUGGGCCCGAUUAAGUCCCUCAGCCUCAGCAUCAAAAUGCUCGAGAGGAUUUGGCGUCCAGAUACUUAUUUCUACAACGGCAAGCAUAGUUACGUGCACACAAUCACUGUGCCGAACAAAUUACUAAGAAUCUCCCAGGACGGCGAUAUAUUAUACUCCAUGAGGCUCACUAUUAAAGCCAAAUGUCCUAUGGAGUUGAGAAACUUUCCUAUGGAUCGACAAUUUUGCCCGUUAAUAAUGGGAAGCUAUGCGUACACAUCGGGACAGUUGGUUUACGAAUGGCAGGAAGGUCUGUCGGUGAACUUUAUGCCCGGAAUGGCAUUGUCGCAAUUCGAUUUAAUGGGCUCGCCGUAUAGAAAUCUUACAUUUUUCCGUCGCGAGGGUGAAUUCUCGGUACUGCAAGUAUCCUUCAACUUGCAACGUCACACUGGAUAUUUUCUCAUACAAGUUUAUGUGCCAUGUGUUUUGAUAGUUGUGCUGAGUUGGGUGUCUUUUUGGAUUCAUCGCGAGGCAACGAGCGAUCGAGUGGGUUUAGGUAUCACUACUGUAUUGACGCUAUCGACGAUAAGCCUCGAUUCCAGAACGGAUUUACCGAAAGUUAGAUACGCUACCGCUCUGGAUUGGUUUCUACUGAUGAGUUUCGGUUACUGUAUCGCCACUCUCUUGGAGUUCGCCGGUGUUCAUUACUUCACGAAGAUUGAUAGCGGCGAAAUUCCUCUGGACGACGAAGAAUGGGAAGAGUGGAAGGACAUCGCGGGUGAGGAGUUCGAGGAUACAUUUCGAUCGAUGAUUUCUUGUAGCCCUCAGGCUGUUCAUCCGGAGAUUAAUACUAAAAAGCGUGGUUCUCUUAUAUCAGCAUUAUAUAGCGACGAUGUCACAUACGAACGAGAUUCCUGCCAUUCUAUCACAGUCGCUAUUUCUUCGAAACCAUCGACAAUGGAGAGACAGACGCAAACUGAGUUUAUUUUACCGAUAUGGCGGCAAUUUCUUUAUUGCCUAGCAGGAGAUGAUGCUUUCAGGCGUCGCCGGCAGCGAGAAGCGGCUAGUAACUAUCGAAAAUGCGGCUAUCGUAUGUCAAGAAGGCACAUAAACAGCGUGUCUUACAUCGACAGAGUGGCGCGAAUAGUAUUCCCCGCGUCUUUUGGUCUGCUGAAUGUCUGCUACUGGGUAGUUUACGUUACCUAUCAAGAGGAGUUUAAGUGGCAGGAUCCGCCAUUCGGAUCGAUAACGCCAAUCUCCCAUUAACGAAAUAUCAAUAAUAAUAAUGGCAAACAUAUAGUAUAUUGUGAAAUAGAACCCAUGAAAAUGUAUUCAGAACUUGCUGUCUUCAAGGGUGACAUCCGAUCUCUACGUCGCUAAUUGGCUAAUUUAAUAUAAAAUAUUCUGAUUGCUCCUAAAGAAAAGUUGCGCUGUAAGUGGCUGUGAUCAAUUGCAACGUAAUCAAAUGGCUGUCGCCCUCAAAGUUGCCCACAAUGAACGAGAAAUUAAUUUAUCGAAUACUCUUCAACAUCAUCAUAGGAGCGCGAUAUUAUUCGUCGAGCGACCAAAUUUAACGGUUACGCGAUUGGCUCUUACUUUCAGAUCCGGUUGAACUGGCAAAUUAUAUUCAUUUGACUCGUUCUGCAGAACAAAUCGUCGAGUCCCCUACAUGCAAGGCCUGCGACUGAUUUGCUGGGCGAAAAACCAAUUGUGUGUUUGAUACUCCGCAACAUGACAAUUGCACAACUGUUGUUUCCGUUGAACGUGGUUUUGCCAGGUUUUGCGUGGUUCGCGAUCUGCUACAUCCAGUUUCGAAAAAUUGGUUUCUAAAUUGAUGCAAUGCUGCUGUGUGGAUAAGCUACUUUAGGAAAAAUCGAGCUUGGCGCACUACAUCGAAAGAAAAAAAAGAUAGCCGUUUUCUAAUUGCAGUGUGCAAUUAUCACGCAUUUUUUCUGUGUACAUUUCACAAUCACACCGGUUCGCAACAUGGUGGUUGGAUACAACCGAAACAUGGCACUUUGGUUCAACAUGAGAAUCCAAUUAAAGACUAAUUAAAACAAAGUCAAGAAAUUUUGAAGAAGUAAAAGUUUCGUAAUGGACAAUAAAAAUCAAACGUAUGAGGAAAUUGAUUGUAUUGUCAAAAUCGAGGAGAUGGAACCUGAACAAGAUUUCAGUUCUGAAAAUCAGGAUGCUAAUUUUGAGGAAGUUUCCAUGGAAAAACAGCAUGUCAUCACAACGCGAAGACGUAGAGGUAGACCCAAAAAAGUGCAAAGUACGCAAUACGUGCCAAAAAAGUACGUUUAUUCUCCGGAAAUCAGUUUAAAGGAUCGUUUUCGACCGAUUCGGCCGAAACCCUUACAACCCACUUCGAUACUGAGGCAUAAAUUUAUACCAUCCAUGUCGAGUACGCCUGAACCACCAAAUCGGAUUAUUGUCUCAGGAAUUGACAGAAAUGUUGACAUUGUCAACAGUAACAUCAAUAGCGGCAGUAAAAAGAGUAUUAAUAAUAGUAAUACCGAAAAUCUGCCGGUUACUAAGAAAAAGAGAAGUAGUAAUUGUAUGAACAGUAGUAUUGAUAGUAACAAAAGUAGUAAUAAUAGUAGUGAUUUACAUACUAAACCAAUAUCCAAAUCUCAUAAGAGUAGUAUCGAAUUAUUUUUUGCGAGUAUGGCACAGACCGUGUUGAAUUUACCUAAUGAAGUACAAGCGGACAUUAAAAUGCAAAUCUGUCAAAUUGUUACCAAAGCAGAGAUACAACACUGCGAAUCACAAACAAAGUCCAAGACUGAAAAUUAAAUUUCGAAAAUUGACAAUCUGUUAUUAGUUUAGUUCUUAAAUUUGUUUUAUGACAAUUAAAUUCUUAUAUAUGUAUCAAGUUACAUAUAAUGCAGGCUAUAAUUAAUACUUGACAUUAGGCGAAAUUAACAAUAAACUUACGACCAAUUUUGAAACAGUAAUUACAACUAAAAUAUAUCUAAGUUCUAUUUACGUUUUAUUUGUCAAAAAAAUUUGCAUGACUCCUGAAUCAAAGUGCUCGUUUCCUCUAACAAACAAAAAUGAAUUCAAAUUCAUUUCUAUCCAUUUCAUACCAUUUUCGUUUGCUGAGUCUUUUUAAAGAUGCUUCUCAUCAUUCGUAUUUUUAAAUAGGAAUUUUAAAUCAUGGUAUAAAUUUUUUUUCUUUGGGAAGAAAAAAAGGAUAGAAGCACACUCCUGCUAUAUUAAAUUCAAAUUAAAGUGUAAUUAUGGGUAUAUUACAAUUUUAAUAAUAAUUUUCUGUAUGUACCUUCUUACAUUUUUUAAUAUUGAUUAUAAUUUACAUUGGACAUUUGACGUUGAGAAUGUACGGCGAGUAAUUUUGUAGUAUAUCGACGAAAAAAUAUGAAGUAUUAGUUUAUUACAAUUAUAUGUGCUAUAAUUAUAUGUCGAUAUGUUGGAUUGUAAAAUUCACAAUUUUUUUGUAUAGAGAAUAUGCCGUAUAGAAAAAAUAUAUAAAUAAAAAUAAAUAUAUAUUUAAGAAAGCAAUAAUUUUUUUUGAAAAUGCUAUGAUAAAAUAACAUUGCUAAUAUACUAAUAUAUCAAAUUAAGAGAGAUUUAUCAUUGUAAAUAGAGAGAGAGAGAGAUGUAAGUUAAGAGAUAAAUCUGAAAAUUGAUGAUUUAAUUAAUUUCUUCUAAUAUAUUAUUAAAUUAUAUGAACGUUGUAUAUACCUAAAUUGGAAUAAAAAAUAUUUGUUAGAAAUGUGAAAAUAAAACAUAAAAAGUUUAUCAUUUCCAUCUUUGUAAAGUUAUAUGUACUAUUAUAAAAGUAAAAAAUAUAUGAUUAUUUUGACAUCUACGAAUUAAAAAAAAAU